rnacentral:rRNA from 1 species
GAGUAAUGCAUCGGAACGUGCCCAGUCGUGGGGGAUAACGCAGCGAAAGCUGUGCUAAUACCGCAUGUGAUCUGUGGAUGAAAGCAGGGGACCGCAAGGCCUUGUGCGAUUGGAGCGGCCGAUGUCAGAUUAGCUAGUUGGUAGGGUAAAAGCCUACCAAGGCGACGAUCUGUAGCUGGUCUGAGAGGACGACCAGCCACACUGGGACUGAGACACGGCCCAGACUCCUACGGGAGGCAGCAGUGGGGAAUUUUGGACAAUGGGCGCAAGCCUGAUCCAGCAAUGCCGCGUGCAGGACGAAGGCCUUCGGGUUGUAAACUGCUUUUGUACGGAGCGAAACGGUCUGGGUUAAUACCCUGGGCUAAUGACGGUACCGUAAGAAUAAGCACCGGCUAACUACGUGCCAGCAGCCGCGGUAAUACGUAGGGUGCGAGCGUUAAUCGGAAUUACUGGGCGUAAAGCGUGCGCAGGCGGUUUUGUAAGACAGGCGUGAAAUCCCCGGGCUCAACCUGGGAAUGGCGCUUGUGACUGCAAAGCUGGAGUGCGGCAGAGGGGGAUGGAAUUCCGCGUGUAGCAGUGAAAUGCGUAGAUAUGCGGAGGAACACCGAUGGCGAAGGCAAUCCCCUGGGCCUGCACUGACGCUCAUGCACGAAAGCGUGGGGAGCAAACAGGAUUAGAUACCCU